rnacentral:rRNA from 1 species
GAUGAACGCUGGUGGCGUGCCUAAUACAUGCAAGUCGAGCGAACAGACGAGGAGCUUGCUCCUCUGACGUUAGCGGCGGACGGGUGAGUAACACGUGGAUAACCUACCUAUAAGACUGGGAUAACUUCGGGAAACCGGAGCUAAUACCGGAUAAUAUAUUGAACCGCAUGGUUCAAUAGUGAAAGACGGUUUUGCUGUCACUUAUAGAUGGCUCCGCGCCGCAUUAGCUAGUUGGUAAGGUAACGGCUUACCAAGGCGACGAUGCGUAGCCGACCUGAGAGGGUGAACGGCCAGCCUGGAACUGAGAAACGGUCCAGACUCCUACGGGAGGCAGCAGUAGGGAAUCUUCCGCAAUGGGCGAAAGCCUGACGGAGCAACGCCGCGUGAAUGAUGAAGGUCUUCGGAUCGUAAAACUCUGUUAUUAGGGAAGAACAAAUGUGUAAGUAACUAUGCACGUCUUGACGGUACCUAAUCAGAAAGCCACGGCUAACUACGUG